rnacentral:piRNA from 1 species
UUUGGCUUGCACUGUCACGUUGGAUCC